AACGAACGCUGGCGGCAUGCCUAACACAUGCAAGUCGAACGAGGCCUUCGGGUGUAGUGGCGCACGGGUGCGUAACGCGUGGGAACCUGUCCUUAGGAUCGGAAUAACUUCCUGCAUGGGGUGCUAAUACCGGAUAUAGUCCUCUCACUACGGACUUAUCGCUUUUAGAUGGGCCCGCGUUGGUUUAGCUAGUCGGUAGAUUAAACGCCAAACAAGGUAACCUUCCAUAGCUCGUCUGAGUGGAUGAUCAGCCACACUGGGACUGAGACGCGGCCCAGACUCCAACGGGCGGCGGCAGUGUAGAAUAUUCGACAACGGGCCAACGCCUGAUCCAGCUGUGACGCGUGGGUGAUGGAGGCCUUAAGGUUGUAGAGCUCGUUUUCCCGGGAUGGUCAAGACAGUGCCCUGAGAAUAAGCUCCGGCUAACUCCGUG
rnacentral:rRNA from 1 species